AUCAUGGCUCAGGAUGAACGCUAGCUACAGGCUUAACACAUGCAAGUCGAGGGGCAGCAGGACGAUAGCUUGCUAUUGUCGCUGGCGACCGGCGCACGGGUGAGUAACGCGUAUCCAACUUCCCCUUAGUAGAGGAUAGCCCGGCGAAAGUCGGAUUAAUACUCUAUGUUGUAUUUUGAGGACAUCUGACGAAUACCAAAGAUUCAUCGCUAAGGGAUGGGGAUGCGUCUGAUUAGCUUGUUGGCGGGGUAACGGCCCACCAAGGCGACGAUCAGUAGGGGUUCUGAGAGGAAGGUCCCCCACAUUGGUACUGAGACACGGACCAAACUCCUACGGGAGGCAGCAGUGAGGAAUAUUGGUCAAUGGGCGAGAGCCUGAACCAGCCAAGUAGCGUGCAAGGAAGACUGCCCUAUGGGUUGUAAACUGCUUUUAUCAGGGAAUAAAGUUCGGCACGUGUGCUGUUUUGUAUGUACCUGAUGAAUAAGGACCGGCUAAUUCCGUGCCAGCCGCCGC
rnacentral:rRNA from 1 species